rnacentral:rRNA from 1 species
CAGCCGCCACGGUAAUACAGAGGAUGCAAGCGUUAUCCGGAAUGAUUGGGCGUAAAGCGUCUGUAGGUGGCUUCUCAAGUCCGCCGUCAAAUCCCAGGGCUCAACCCUGGACAGGCGGUGGAAACUACCAAGCUGGAGUACGGUAGGGGCAGAGGGAAUUUCCGGUGGAGCGGUGAAAUGCGUAGAGAUGUGGAGGAACACCAGUGGCGAAGGCGACUCUCUGGUCUGUAACUGACGCUGAGGAGCGAAAGCGUGGGGAGCGAACAGGAUUAGAUACCCCAGUAGUCCCUGUCUCUUAUAC